rnacentral:rRNA from 1 species
AACGAACGCUGGCGGCAGGCCUAACACAUGCAAGUCGAACGCCCCGCAAGGGGAGUGGCAGACGGGUGAGUAACGCGUGGGAAUCUACCCAGUGGUACGGAACAACCAAGGGAAACUUUGGCUAAUACCGUAUACGUCCUUCGGGAGAAAGAUUUAUCGCCAUUGGAUGAGCCCGCGUCGGAUUAGGUAGUUGGUGAGGUAACGGCUCACCAAGCCUACGAUCCGUAGCUGGUCUGAGAGGAUGAUCAGCCACAUUGGGACUGAGACACGGCCCAAACUCCUACGGGAGGCAGCAGUGGGGAAUAUUGGACAAUGGGCGCAAGCCUGAUCCAGCCAUGCCGCGUGAGUGAUGACGGCCCUAGGGUUGUAAAGCUCUUUCGGCGGGGAAGAUAAUGACUGUACCCGCAGAAGAAGCCCCGGCUAACUUCGUGCCAGCAGCCGCCGUAA